ensembl:lncRNA
UUAAUAAAUAUGCUUUGUCAAAAGUGUGCUCCAAAUGGCAGUGUUACAGUGAAGAAUUUGAAACGCUGUCAUUUUGUAAGCAAUGGAGACAAUAAAUCAAGAAGCAAUCUCAUCCAUUUAAUGGCCCUUCUACAGUGACAAAAGUAAAGUGAAAACAUGGGUGAAAAAUUUCUGGAUGAGGAGAAGAAAGCAUUAUGUGCUGAGAAAGCCUUUGAAAGGCACUCAAGGUGAAAUAAUCUUGAUUUUUUUUUCCCCCUCUUCUCUCCAGCUAUGUCUCUUCUUUAAUUUUUCUUCAAUUGGUGAACUUUUGUUUUAUACCCAAGGAUUUCUUCAGAAGUUUGUGUCUGCAUUUAUCUUUUUGUUCUGCUAUCUUUUUCAUCUGGCCACUUUUUCUUUUUUUUGUUCGUUCUCUUGUUGUCAUGAUCCUGGGCCAUGUUGGCCCAGCAUCUUUAUUUAGGCCUUGUGACUUUUACCCCCUCGUCUCCCCUCCGUGGGUCAGUCAUAAACUGACUGACCCACUCAGUCUUUAGAUCUUCCCGUAGCUAAACAAAUGAAUCAAUGUGUCUUGGCAUAUAUUUAAGUUGAAUACUAAUAUAUUACUCAUUAUUGUCAACACAUGACUAAAGACUCCAGCUGAGCAAGUACUACUGGGGAUGAAUGGAAAAAAAAAAAAAAAUCACUUUUUAAAAAAGUCCCGACUAAAGAAAGAUGUGUGAGCAAAACAUCACACUGUGACAAAACCGCAGCUAGUUUGCUUGGUGGGUGUGUGUGCAUGUGUGCAUGUAUUGACCCAGUGCAGCUGUGCAGCUUGGGAUCUUUGCCAAACCUCUAACAGACAAUUACCCGUGUGUGUGUGUGUGUGUGUGUGUGUGUGUGUGUGUGUGUGUGUGUGUGUGUGUGUGUGUGUCGUCAGUAUGCGUCACGCCUGCCCUGUCUCGUUACGAUUAUCUGUGUCAGCUGUGUUCCCCGUGUGCUCCCACUUCCCUCGUUGACCCUCUGUGUAUUUAUGUCCGCGUCUCCCUCAUGACCGUAUGCCCCUGCAUGUGUUUCCUCGCGAGUAAGUUCCUUUAGAACGUCCCAGUUUGGUUUCAUAUUAUUUUGUAUCGCCUUUAUCUUCUGUCAGCAAUAAAGCUGUAUUUUGAGUUCAGUCCUGUUUUCCCAUGAGUUUGCGUUUGGGUCCUCAUCCUGCCUGCACACAGUCUAAUCAUGACACUUGUCCUUU